CUUCUGAAGAGUCGAAGUGCAGUGGAAGAGCCACACGGGAGAACUUCCAGAAUGCCGUUAACAACUAAAAUUCAUUUGUUAAGCUUUGAUUCAAUGAAAGCAAGCAGGUUAAUUUUGUCUCCUGUUCUGUCUGAUAAAUGUCUACUCUAAGUGCCUUGGGUUUGAAUUCUUGUGGAUCCUUCUGAAACCAGAGAACUAACUGCCGUUUGGCCUCUAUAUGGAUUUCAAAAACAUACAUACUAAACUCAGUAAG